GCAAUUCAUGAUAGCUCAGUUGAUGAGAGCAGGGUGCUAAUAACACCAAGGUUGCAGGUUCCACCCCUGUAUGAGGCA